ensembl:lncRNA novel transcript
GACCUGGUGACAGGAGCCAUGAGGGGCCAGGCCUCAGGUCCCACAGGGCUGGGAGCAUCCCCGGGGCAGGCGGAGGUCGGAGGUGGUGAGGCCUUUCGGCGAAGCUGAGGCCUGGAACAACCCGGUGGGAAGCCACGGAGGGGGUCCCCUAGCGGAGGCUGGGCGCGGGCCGGUGCGCGUGCGCGGCUGGAGGCUCAGCGCGCGAGCGUGCGCGUGAUUUGGCCCUGAACGGACGCCGUAGCCGAGAGGUUGGGCGGAUGUUGUGAACCGGGUCGCGGCGGCCGAGGCUCGGGCCUCCAGGACCACUGGCUGCCCAUGAGAGACGAAGGAUGGCAUCCAAGGGGGCCGGCGUGUCUUUCUCCCGCAAGAGCUGUAGGCUGACCUCAGAUGCUGAGAAAUCCAGGGUCACAGUUACUCGGGAGGCUGAGGCAGGAGAAUCGCUUGAACCGGAGAGGCGGACGUUGCAGUGAGCCGAGGUCAAACCAGUGCACUCCAGCCUGGGCAACAGAGCGAGACUCCAUCUGAAAAAGAAACAAAAAGAAAAAAAA